rnacentral:rRNA from 1 species
CAGCAGCCGCGGGAAAACGAAGGGUGCAAGCGUUAAUCGGAAUUACUGGGCGUAAAGCGCGCGUAGGUGGUUUGGUAAGAUGGAUGUGAAAUCCCCGGGCUCAACCUGGGAACUGCAUCCAUAACUGCCUGACUAGAGUACGGUAGAGGGUGGUGGAAUUUCCUGUGUAGCGGUGAAAUGCGUAGAUAUAGGAAGGAACACCAGUGGCGAAGGCGACCACCUGGACUGAUACUGACACUGAGGUGCGAAAGCGUGGGGAGCAAACAGGAUUAGAUACCCCUGUAGUCCCUGUCUCUUAUAA